AGGAAAGCAAGGCAAUUCCCCUGAGCCAGCCCAUGCUGCGGCAGCCACUGUAGGGUCCCUGCGAGCCGGAGCCGCGGCGCUCCCCGUCCUGCCGGGCGCCGCCGGGGAACUUCAGGCAACCUGGGGAGCGGAGAAAAAAAAGAGUCUGAGUGCUUUGUGGUGACAAGAGCCUAUGCUGUUUCAGUGAGUUCUGUGUUUCUGCUGACAACAGGCAAAGAGCCUCAAAGGCUGGGGAGGCAGAUGAUUAGAACAAUCAACAAUGAAGAAAUAUCUCUCUUCUGUCUACACUGUUUGGAACAUGCAAUGAGUUUCACAACAAAGGGAAGCUGAUUGGUGAGUUUCGUUGCCAGUAGAAAGAGACAGCUGUGAUUACUUUCAAUACAGGCUCCGAGCCCAGCCACAAAUCUGAGCCCUGGCUGGGAUCUCCACCACACAGCGUUAAACAAAUACAGUGGCUGCGCGGCUUUAUAGGCACCCAGCUCUGACACCUCAGCAAGGAAACCCAUUGGUGUACCGGUCGACCUGCCCUGCAGAAACAUGCAGGGGGCUCACUGUCAGCUGACAAGAUAGAAUUAGACCAGCGAGAUCUCCUCCUCUCAAUACUCAGCAGAACUGACCACACUCUGCAAGCUGUGAGAAAUCACCUAUACCACAAUGGCUCCUGUAGUUUUUACUUGUACAAUGCCACCAAUGCCACAGAAGGGACAAAUGCCUUCUUGUGGGGGAUUCACAGCUCCAUUCACAGAAAAAACAGAGCAGAGACGUGGAGGGAUCAGGCAGUUUUAGAUAAACUGAAAGCAGGUACCGAACAAGAAGAAGAUAUAGGUUUCUGAUGCCAAAGUUGACGUCUGUUUAAUCACUGCUGUGCUUGUCCUCUCAUUCCCAUACAUAACUACAGGCAUCAGUGAAGUCAUAACAGUGUUGCAGAAGAAAAUCCUGAAAACACUGCUUUAGUCAAGACUUUUUGCUGCUCUUAGACAGGAGAAAUUCCAGUGAUGGAUCUUACCUGCCACAAUCAAGUCUGAGGAUUAGCUUUACUCAACAAUUUUGAAACUGUGAUUCCCCAAAGUGCUGGUAAAUCAUCCGUAUGCGGUCUCUGGUCUGUUAAACGGUAUGAUCUCAUCAGUCCUAAAUAGCUGGACUAAACUUUGUUGAGAGCUGACGACGGACUUAGUACAAAACUGUGGGUGUCACUGCCUUCCACAAUACUGUAAUUGAAGCAAGCUAUGGGUGAAAGCUUGGAAUCUCUACUACUGAAGAGAGAAAAGACACUCUGUGGUAAUACCUACAUUAAACGUUUGCCCUGGACGCGAGCUCUGGGCUCGAGUACGUUAAACUCACUGUUUUGGUUGUGGUAUGAAGGCAGGUAGAUGUCAUGAUGGCAGGCCAUGGGAGAUGACAAUCCCAGCUACUAAUGCUCUUGCCUACCUCUGAAAUGUUCCUGCUCCACUCCAGACAGCCACUGGAUUUCAGAUAGAUAUCAGGAAGUCGUGUGUUUGACUUUCAGCGUUAAUGGGCAUCAGUUUGUCUCUGUGAGAAUGCGGCACUCAGCAGUGCUGCACUUAGACAAAGUCAUGAGGAGGGUCUGGGGCCUAUGAUGGUCUCACCUGAGUGGGACCUGCUCUGCUGUUUCUGCUUCUGCUUCUUAAAAGCUUUGUCUGGUCCUCAGAGCCCUGAAAGAUUUUAAGAUGUGAGCUUCGGAGCUCCUGCUUCUGUUUCCUUGUUUAACAAGGAAUUGUGUUAUGGCAAAAUAGUAUACUGCUAUCAAGAUUGAAAAUAAAGACAUGGAAGAAUCCAUUGAGAAGAGAAGGCAGAAGAGAAAGGACAGAAUGAAUGUAAAUAGUGUUCGAUUUUUGAUUCACUGCUUGUGUUUCAUACCCGCAGCAAUUACAGAAGUUUAACUUUCUCACUGCAAAUAUAGUUACUGGUUUGAUGUAUAAUAUUUCUUUUAUUUUCUUCUUUUUUUGCAUAACAUUGUUCAUGGAUAAUCUUAUUAAAACAAAUCAGAUGCUUGAGAAAACAAACAAAUCAAAACCUAUGCUUCAAAUGAUGCAAAAAAACACAGAAGAGAUUGAAAAAUGAUAAUUUUAUACUUUUAAGUUGAAAAGUAGUUCUGGAAGAAUGUUGCUGUUACAAAUAAUUCAAACACUUUCAUCCAGAGAGAAUUUAGUCAAUAUACUUCAGCCUAUUUAAGCUAAACUGUUCCACAGAAACAUCUCAAUAUUCAUAAUAUUUUUAAAUCAGAAGGUUUCUGAGGUCACUGUCUGGUGAGAGAAGAAAAAAAGAAAAAGAAAAAAAAAGUACUGAAAGCAGCCCCUUAAGAUAGGAAAAUAUGUUUUACAACAUUUCCAGCUUGGGGUGUACAGGAGAUACUUCUGAAAGGUUUUUUGCUUUUAUGUUUAUUUUUUCUUUUUCUAAUGAACACAAAAAACACUCUCAAGCUGUUUCCAGGAAUUGGAGUUGUCCAUUACAUCUCUCUGAUCAUCUCCAGCUCAUUAUAACGUGACCUGUGGGCCUGUACGUUGCUGUACCCUGGAGUCCUACUGCUCCAAACAUCUUAACUAUGGACCUGUUGGGACAUGAAGACUGGAUGGGGCCUGCAGCAAUUUUCUUUUGUGGAAAGCACAGGGCAUAGACAGGGAGACCGGAGGCGCCUGCUGUACCAUGCCACCUCUCUCAGCAGGGAGUUGGGCUGCUCCCAAGUCUGCAUCUGAGAUGUAAGCUCCAUUUGCCAUUCCCCCCCAGCUUUGUUUCAAUUUGCAUACACCUAUGCUUGAAGAAUAGCUGUACUGUGCAUAAAUGUCCUAACUGGCACAUAAACAGGAUGUUUAUACAUAAGCAAAUUUAUCCUUUGUUGGCUAUUAGAGUCAUUAGUCUCUUUCAAACACUUGAGUCAUUCCAUUCAUGGAGCAGAAAGAGUACUGCUGACCUCUGCAACCCAUCACAGACAAACC